rnacentral:lncRNA from 1 species
GGGUGAGGUGGGUGGACACAGAGGGAAUAUGAAGGGUCUCAACCAGUUGCCUGGGCCUCCUAGGAACAAUACCCUUUGGGCCCUGAGUGCUGGGGGAAGGUGUGCAACUUCCUGCCUGCACCCACCUGUCCUGGUGACCUGGCUGCAUGCAGGUCGUCCUAGGUGAGGGCAGUAAAGGAGACGCAGGGUUGUUUCUCUUGGGAGAGGGCACUUGGUGAGGCCCAGUGAUAGUAUGGGGUCCCUGGCACAGAGAAUUGAUGGCAGCGCCAGACAGGUCUGUCUGUAGUACUUGGCAGGACAGCUGGAGAAAAAGAGUAGAUCAACUGAAGGGCCAGAGACCCAGUGAGGCCUGGCGUGCAGAGAUGGGACUGGACAUGGCCUGUGGGCCAUAGUUUGCUGGACUUGGCCAGAGCAGUGGUUCUCAAACUUUUUGGUCUUGGGACCCUGAAGAGCUUUUGUAUCUAUUGAUGUUUACAUCUUGGCUAUUAAAGCAAAUUACAAGUACCAAAAGUAUAUAUUUACUGAAGGAAAAAAAGCUUUUUGCUUUGCUUUUGCACAUUAGUGCCCAAAACAUGUUGUCAAAAAUACCUUUCCUGUAGCAAGAUGAUUCAGAAAGCAGAGUGGCCUUGUUCUACCUUGUUGCAAUCUCCCUUGGUCUGUCUGGGUCAGAGUUCUGUAUUCUCAUGGCAGCAGCUGCUUCUGCCCUCAACUGCAGAAAUUGACUGAUUUUGAAAGGGAGCACCUUAGGGCUGGGGAUGUCGCUCAGUGGUAGAGCACUUGCCUGGCACUCAUGCCCUGAGUUUAAUCCCCAGAAUUGUUUAAAAAAAAGAAGAAGAUGAGGAGGAGGAGAGGAAUUUUGGGGAUCCCCAGAGGAUUUUGGACCAACUUUGAGACCCACUGGCCAGAGGACAAGCCUAUGGACCCCAUCGAGGCCCUGGGGGAAACCCUUACGGGGUGGGAGGAGAGGAUGAUGUGUUGGUGUGGCCACUUAUGUGCAGAGGGCCCUUGUGGGCUUCGUGUCGUCAUGCCGAGGAUCACUUGUGUUUUCCCUGGGUUCUGGAGCCUCUCACCCAGGACUGGUGGUCUAUGGGCCAGAAGGACUGGGCAGGCCCAGAGUUGACAUCUGGGACUUCACGGAAGGAGGGUGUUACAGCCCACCCAGCACCCUGUUGCUUCUGGGCCACUCCCCAGGCAGGGUGGUUCAGGCUUGGGGGCUUGUGGUGAAGGUGAGGCCCGCACUGACUGGGACCCCCUUUUCCCAGCCAUUCUGACCUUACCUCUCCUCCUGCUCCCAGCAGAAAAAUGGCUACAAACUUUCUAGUGCAUGAGAAGAUCUGGUUUGACAAGUUCAAAUACGAUGAUGCAGAAAGGAAGUUCUAUGAGCAGAUGAAUGGGCCUGUGGCUGGUGCCUCCCGCCAGGUGAGGGAAUGCUUGGGGCCACCAGGUGGCUCUGCUGCUCAGUAGGAGUGGCUGCAGCCUGCAAAGAGGUUGCUGGCAAGGUCGGGUGGGUAGUGGCACGUCUGGGCCAAGUAGCUCU